GACGGAAGAAAAAACAAUUGCCUUCUUCUGCCUCCAGCUUUUACCGCGGUCAGACGUGUGUUUUUCCUCGUUAUAAUAAAAGGCGUUUAUUCUGUGUGAUAGCUAUUCAAGAGGACGAUUACAGGGGCGCUUUUAGAGGCUUAGCACUUUACUCGGUUUGGUUGUAUGAUUGUGGACGCCUUACAGUUUCCUUUCAAAGUACAAGCAGCGUGGGAGUUUCUAGGAACAUCUUGAAUCGUAACUGAAUCAUGAGACUACAAGCAUGUGAAUGUCUCACUUUUACCUUUUUUACCUCUUUUAUGAAAUUUGGAGAUUGAUUUCCAAGGAAGCAUGCGAGGGAGUAUAGGACUUGACAUUAUCUACUUUUUUACUGUCAACGCAGAAAUAGACGUCCUGCGCCAAGGUAGUGAUCAGCUGAUUGAAGACUUUUACUACCCUGCCCUUCAAGCAGCACUCGAACAAGGUUCUUAUAAGAACAUCUCUACAGUUCAAGAUGUCAAAAAUGAAGUUAAAAUGAGAGCCAUGUUUGGACUUUUCGGUGCAGUCUUGGUCUUACCUAUAAUUUCAUUGAAUAAGAAAGACUCAGCUGAAAAUUCUGUUGAAGCAAUGAGGGAUGAAAAUAAAGCAGAAAAGAUCGCCGACAUCUGUUGCUCAUCAGAACGAUUCCGCCAGAGAGCAUAAAAAUUUUACUGAAAGAAUACGAAAAUUAUGGAUUAUUUAAUUGAUUAGAUUAUACGAGCGGCGAACUAUACUGUACGGUUAGAAAAAAAGUUUUGGUAUACACACAAAUUGAUAAUAUCUACUGUAUGAAAUUAAUACAAUUCCAAUGUAUAUAAAUAUGUAUAAAAGUUACACUCCCAAUCAAGGACUUCAA